rnacentral:rRNA from 1 species
GGCCUUUUGAGGAGAAUUUAAGGUUGCGCCUGCUCAAUGACAAGAUUAAAUAGCUGCAGUAUUUUGACUGUACUAAGGUAGCAUAAUCAUUAGUUUCUUAAUUGGGGACUGGAAUGAAAGGUUUGAUGAGAAAAUAACUGUCUCUUUUAUAAAUAUAGAAAUUUAUUAUUGAGUAAAAAAGCUCAAAUUUAGUUAAAAGACGAGAAGACCCUAUAGAGUUUAAUAAUUAAUUAAUUUUUAUUAAUAAAGAUAAGAAAUUUAUUAAAAUUAAAAUUAUUAUUUGAUUGGGGUGAUUUAAAAAUUUAUUAAACUUUUUUUUGUUGAUACUUUAGUUUGAGAUUAAUUUGAUCCGUUAUUUAACGAUUAAAAGAAUAAAUUACCUUAGGGAUAACAGCGUAAUCUUUUUUUAGAGCUCUAAUCGAUAAAAAGGAUUGCGA